GAUGAAGAACGUAGCGAAAUGCGAUAAGUAAUGUGAAUUGCAGAAUUCAGUGAAUCAUCGAAUCUUUGAACGCACAUUGCGCCCGCCAGCAUUCUGGCGGGCAUGCCUGUUCGAGCGUCAUUUCAACCCUCGAGCCCCCCCGGGGGCCUCGGUGUUGGGGGACGGCACACCCGCCGCCCCCGAAAUGCAGUGGCGACCCCGCCGCAGCCUCCCCUGCGUAGUAGCACACACCUCGCACCGGAGCGCGGAGGCGGUCACGCCGUAAAACGCCCAACUUUCUUAGAGUUGACCUCGGAUCAGGUAGGAAUACCCGCUGAACUUAAGCAUAUCAAUAAGCGGAGGA
rnacentral:misc_RNA from 1 species